CCAGGGGAUACCUUAGUACGGCGAGUGAGCGGUAAAAGCUCAAAUUUGAAAUCUGGUACUUUCAGUGCCCGAGUUGUAAUUUGUAGAAUUUGUCUUUGAUUAGGUCCUUGUCUAUGUUCCUUGGAACAGGACGUCAUAGAGGGUGAGAAUCCCGUUUGGCGAGGAUACCUUUUCUCUGUAAGACUUUUUCGAAGAGUCGAGUUGUUUGGGAAUGCAGCUCAAAGUGGGUGGUAAAUUCCAUCUAAAGCUAAAUAUUGGCGAGAGACCGAUAGCGAACAAGUACAGUGAUGGAAAGAUGAAAAGAACUUUGAAAAGAGAGUGAAAAAGUACGUGAAAUUGUUGAAAGGGAAGGGCAUUUGAUCAGACAUGGUGUUUUUUGCAUGCACUCGCCUCUCGUGGGCUUGGGCCUCUCAAAAAUUUCACUGGGCCAACAUCAAUUCUGGCAGCAGGAUAAAUCAUUAAGAAUGUAGCUACUUCGGUAGUGUUAUAGCUUUUUGGAAUACUGUUAGCCGGGAUUGAGGACUGCGCUUCGGCAAGGAUGUUGGCAUAAUGGUUAAAUGCCGCCCGUCUUGAAACAACGGACCA
rnacentral:rRNA from 1 species